CUAGUGGUCUUCACAUCUUAAUUUUUGUAAAUACUUUGUCCACAACCCCCUCUGACGCUCCUGCUGAUAUAUCUUCUCCCUGACUUUUAAAUGUAGAUGUUCCCCAAGGAAGAUUCUUUACCUUCUUCUCUUCUUAAUAUUCUCCCAUAGGUGAUUUCCUUCAUAUCCACGGUGUCUUUACCCAUUAAUACAUGACAUAUUCCAAGUAUAUAUUUCUGAAGUUACUGUGGUUUGGUUUCCCCAGCAGCAGA
rnacentral:lncRNA from 1 species